rnacentral:rRNA from 1 species
AUUGAACGAGGGAGGAAGGAGGUACACAUGCAAGUCGAACGGCAGCGCGGGCUUCGGCCUGGCGGCGAGUGGCGAACGGGUGAGUAAUGCAUCGGAACGUGCCCAGUAGUGGGGGAUAGCCCGGCGAAAGCCGGAUUAAUACCGCAUACGACCUGAGGGUGAAAGCGGGGGACCGAAAGGCCUCGCGCUAUUGGAGCGGCCGAUGUCGGAUUAGCUAGUUGGUGGGGUAAAGGCUUACCAAGGCGACGAUCCGUAGCUGGUCUGAGAGGACGACCAGCCACACUGGGACUGAGACACGGCCCAGACUCCUACGGGAGGCAGCAGUGGGGAAUUUUGGACAAUGGGGGCAACCCUGAUCCAGCCAUGCCGCGUGCGGGAAGAAGGCCUUCGGGUUGUAAACCGCUUUUGUUCGGGAAGAAAUCCUCUGGGCUAAUACCCCGGGGGGAUGACGGUACCGGAAGAAUAAGCACCGGCUAACUACGUC